rnacentral:rRNA from 1 species
GGGGAAUUUUGGACAAUGGUCGCAAGCCUGAUCCAGCAAUGCCGCGUGCAGGAUGAAGGCCUUCGGGUUGUACACUGCUUUUGUACGGAACGAAACGCCUCUCUCUAAUACAGGGGGGUGAUGACGGUACCGUAAGAAUAAGCACCGGCUAACUACGUGCCAGCAGCCGCUGUGAUACGUAGGGUGCGAGCGUUGUCCGGAAUUAUUGGGCGUAAAGAGCUUGUAGGCGGUCCGUCACGUCGGAAGUGAAAACUCAGGGCUUAACCCUGAGCCUGCUUUCGAUACGGGCAGACUUGAGGGAUGUAGGGGAGAACGGAAUUCCUGGUGGAGCGGUGGAAUGCGCAGAUAUCAGGAGGAACACCAGUGGCGAAGGCGGCUUGCUGGACAAAUACUGACGCUGAGGUGCGAAAGCGUGGGGAGCAAACA